rnacentral:rRNA from 1 species
CCCUACGGGGCGCAGCAGUGGGGAAUAUUGCACAAUGGGGGAAACCCUGAUGCAGCGACGCCGCGUGAGUGAAGAAGUAUUUCUGUAUGUAAAGCUCCAUCAGCAGGGAAGAAAAUGACGGUACCUGACUAAGAAGCCCCGGCUAACUACGUGCCAGCAGCCGCGGUAAUACGUAGGGGGCAAGCGUUAUCCGGAUUUACUGGGUGUAAAGGGAGCGUAGGUGGCAUGGUAAGCCAGAAGUGAAAACCCAGGGCUCAACUCUACGGAUUGCUUUUGGAACUAUCAAGCUAGAGUGCUGGAGGGGG